rnacentral:rRNA from 1 species
CGCGUAGGCGGCCUGUUAAGUCAGAUGUGAAAGCCCCGGGCUCAACCUGGGAAUUGCAUUUGAUACUGGCAGGCUAGAGUGUGGUAGAGGGAAGUGGAAUUCCGGGUGUAGCGGUGAAAUGCGUAGAUAUCCGGAGGAACACCAGUGGCGAAGGCGGCUUCCUGGACCAACACUGACGCUGAGGUGCGAAAGCGUGGGAGCAAACA